UACGGAGGGUGCAAGCGUUAUCCGGAUUCACUGGGUUUAAAGGGUGCGUAGGCGGGUUGGUAAGUCCGUGGUGAAAUCUCCGGGCUUAACCCGGAAAGGUCAGCCGAUACUGCGGGGCUAGAGUGCAGAAGGGGCAACUGGAAUUCUCGGUGUAGCGGUGAAAUGCGUAGAUAUCGAGAGGAACACCUGCGGCGAAGGCGGGUUGCUGGGCUGACACUGACGCUGAUGCGCGAAAGCUAGGGGAGCGAACGGG
rnacentral:rRNA from 1 species